CACCACUGUACUAACCUGUUACACACUGAAGACCUAUAGGUUCACCACUGUACUAACCUGUUACACACUGAAGACCUAUAGGUUCACCACUGUACUAACCUGUUACACACUGAAGACCUAUAGGUUCACCACUGUACUAACCUGUCACACACUGAAGACCUAUAGGUUCACCACUGUACUAACCUGUCACACACUGAAGACCUAUAGGUUCACC